rnacentral:rRNA from 1 species
GAAUGCUGACAUAAGUAACGAUAAAGCGGGUGAAAAGCCCGCUCGCCGGAAGACCAAGGGUUCCUGUCCAACGUUAAUCGGGGCAGGGUGAGUCGACCCCUAAGGCGAGGCCGAAAGGCGUAGUCGAUGGGAAACAGGUUAAUAUUCCUGUACUUGGUGUUACUGCGAAGGGGGGACGGAGAAGGCUAUGUUAGCCGGGCGACGGUUGUCCCGGUUUAAGCAUGUAGGCGGAGGUUCCAGGUAAAUCCGGUACCUUUUAACGCUGAGGUGUGAUGACGAGGCACUACGGUGCUGAAGUAACAAAUGCCCUGCUUCCAGGAAAAGCCUCUAAGCAUCAGGUAACAUUAAAUCGUACCCCAAACCGACACAGGUGGUCAGGUAGAGAAUACCAAGGCGCUUGAGAGAACUCGGGUGAAGGAACUAGGCAAAAUGGUGCCGUAACUUCGGGAGAAGGCACGCUGGUGUGUAGGUGAAGUCCCUGCGGAUGGAGCUGAGACCAGUCGAAGAUACCAGCUGGCUGCAACUGUUUAUUAAAAACACAGCACUGUGCAAACACGAAAGUGGACGUAUACGGUGUGACGCCUGCCCGGUGCCGGAAGGUUAAUUGAUGGGGUUAUCCGUAAGGAGAAGCUCUUGAUCGAAGCCCCGGUAAACGGCGGCCGUAACUAUAACGGUCCUAAGGUAGCGAAAUUCCUUGUCGGGUAAGUUCCGACCUGCACGAAUGGCGUAAUGAUGGCCAGGCUGUCUCCACCCGAGACUCAGUGAAAUUGAACUCGCUGUGAAGAUGCAGUGUACCCGCGGCAAGACGGAAAGACCCCGUGAACCUUUACUAUAGCUUGACACUGAACAUUGAGCCUUGAUGUGUAGGAUAGGUGGGAGGCUUUGAAGCGUGGACGCCAGUCUGCGUGGAGCCAACCUUGAAAUACCACCCUUUAAUGUUUGAUGUUCUAACGUAGGCCCCUGACCGGGGUUGCGGACAGUGUCUGGUGGGUAGUUUGACUGGGGCGGUCUCCUCCCAAAGAGUAACGGAGGAGCACGAAGGUUAGCUAAUCCUGGUCGGACAUCAGGAGGUUAGUGCAAUGGCAUAAGCUAGCUUGACUGCGAGCGUGACGGCGCGAGCAGGUGCGAAAGCAGGUCAUAGUGAUCCGGUGGUUCUGAAUGGAAGGGCCAUCGCUCAACGGAUAAAAGGUACUCCGGGGAUAACAGGCUGAUACCGCCCAAGAGUUCAUAUCGACGGCGGUGUUUGGCACCUCGAUGUCGGCUCAUCACAUCCUGGGGCUGAAGUAGGUCCCAAGGGUAUGGCUGUUCGCCAUUUAAAGUGGUACGCGAGCUGGGUUUAGAACGUCGUGAGACAGUUCGGUCCCUAUCUGCCGUGGGCGCUGGAGAAUUGAGGGGGGCUGCUCCUAGUACGAGAGGACCGGAGUGGACGCAUCACUGGUGUUCGGGUUGUCAUGCCAAUGGCACUGCCCGGUAGCUAAAUGCGGAAGAGAUAAGUGCUGAAAGCAUCUAAGCACGAAACUUGCCCCGAGAUGAGUUCUCCCUGAGACUAUAAGUCUCCUGAAGGAACGUUGAAGACGACGACGUUGAUAGGCCGGGUGUGUAAGCGCAGCGAUGCGUUGAGCUAACCGGUACUAAUGAACCGUGAG